AGUGAACGCUGGCGGUAGGCCUAACACAUGCAAGUCGAACGGCAGCACAGUAAGAGCUUGCUCUUACGGGUGGCGAGUGGCGGACGGGUGAGGAAUACAUCGGAAUCUACUUUUUCGUGGGGGAUAACGUAGGGAAACUUACGCUAAUACCGCAUACGACCUACGGGUGAAAGCAGGGGAUCUUCGGACCUUGCGCGAUUGAAUGAGCCGAUGUCGGAUUAGCUAGUUGGCGGGGUAAAGGCCCACCAAGGCGACGAUCCGUAGCUGGUCUGAGAGGAUGAUCAGCCACACUGGAACUGAGACACGGUCCAGACUCCUACGGGAGGCAGCAGUGGGGAAUAUUGGUCAAUGGGCGCAAGCCUGAUCCAGCCAUACCGCGUGGGUGAAGAAGGCCUUCGGGUUGUAAAGCCCUUUUGUUGGGAAAGAAAAGCAGCAGGUUAAUACCCCGCUGUUCUGACGGUACCCAAAGAAUAAGCACCGGCUAACUUCGUG
rnacentral:rRNA from 1 species